UACGAAGGGAGCUAGCGUUGUUCGGAAUCACUGGGCGUAAAGCGCACGUAGGCGGAUUUGCCAGUCAGGGGUGAAAUCCUGGAGCUCAACUCCAGAACUGCCUUUGAUACUGAGGAGCUUGAGUCCGGGAGAGGUGAGUGGAACUGCGAGUGUAGAGGUGAAAUUCGUAGAUAUUCGCAAGAACACCAGAGGCGAAGGCGGCUCACUGGCCCGGUACUGACGCUGAGGUGCGAAAGCGUGGGGAGCAAACAGG
rnacentral:rRNA from 1 species